CCCUGACCGGUGAAGAGCGGUGCCCCGAGCGGCAGUCCUGACCAGGGAAGACCGGCGCCCCGCGUCGACAACCCCGACCCCCCGUCGGUCGCUCCACUUCCCGCGACGCGGCCGUCCGCCACCGGUGCUGCACCUCCUGACGGCCGGUUCAACAGAUGCAGUCCAUCACCACCACCCGUCCUCUUCCACACUAUUCGCUGGCUCGCCGCCUGCUGCCAUCUUUCGGUUCUCCACAUCGCAGCUGAUGAUGUUUCCUGUACCGGAUUCUAAAUAUGAUGAGGAGUUGAAUGAGAAAGAUGCCGAAGCAAAAGGUGCCAAUCUAGAAGCUGCUCAAGAUGACAAGUCAAAAGAACAGAAGCAAAUGGCGUCAUGAAAUCUUAUUGUUGGACCAUGAAUUACGAAUCUUCUUACUUAUGAAUCUUGUCACUUGCUGUCAAGUAUAAACAUGUAUUGGUAUUUUGUUUACUUGCUGUCAAAUAUAAACAUGUAUUGCUACUGGGA